ensembl:lncRNA
GCAACACAAAAGCAUCUGCCAUAAUGAGAAAUAAAGCCUGGCAGAGGAUAGCUGACCGCGUAAAUUUCCAAUCGUAAGAGGGCCGACAGUCGGCAGACUGGAUCGGGCCCUCCAAUUACCUUCAUCCCGGUUGAGGAGCUGGCUCUAACCAUUAAUGCAGGGCGCCCUGGCAUGGAGGGGAUACCUGGAGGUACCUCCUCCGAGAGUCCGGGGCCAUCUCCGUCCACUGUCAACCCACUGGUUGAAUAUCAAGACGGAGUAUUGCUUUUAAUCGAGCCGGCUACGAAUGAACAUCCUCCAGUUU